CGAUAUCUCGAUAUUGUGUGAAACUCUCCAAAAAACAAACAAACAAUGGAAGACUAUCAGGUUCACUUCUACCUAGUUCACUUCCUGUUUGCUGCGUGUGCCUGUCAUGAGUGUGGCAAUAAACAUGUGUUCUGGACACUACUGGUUUCCUACUGGUCAUUUCCAGUAGCCCCAGAUCUGGUCCAGGCUUGUGGAUCCAGGAUCUGGCACUGAAUCUGGUGGUGUCAAGUCCACGCCCGAGCAGAUCUGCAAGUACAAGACCAGCAUCGGAGUUGAGUCCGGUGAUGGCUGGUCCAAGAGCGACACUAGCUGGAGUGUCGUUUGAGGUGCUGGCUUGGGCACCGAUGGCUGCAGGUCUGGCUGGCAGUCUGUAGAUAGAGGUGAGGCAGGCUGGAGCGCUGGCGACAUCUCGACUUGCUCUGUUGGUCGCACGGCAGUCUGUAGAUAGAGGUGAAGCAGGCUGGAGCGCUGGCGACAUCUCGACUUGCUCUGUUGGUCGCACGGCAGUCUGUAGAUAGAGGUGAAGCAGGCUGGAGCGCUGGCGACAUCUCGACUUGCUCUGUUGGUCGCACGGCAGUCUGUAGAUAGAGGUGAAGCAGGCUGGAGCGCUGACGACAUCUCGACUUGCUCUGUUGGUCGCACGGCAGUCUGUAGAUAGAGGUGAAGCAGGCUGGAGCGCUGACGACAUCUCGACUUGCUCUGUUGGUCGCACGGCAGUCUGUAGAUAGAGGUGAAGCAGGCUGGAGCGCUGGCGACAUCUCGACUUGCUCUGUUGGUCGCACGGCAGUCUGUAACACUGGCUACAGUUUAUCUGGCUCAGCAGCUGCUCGUGGUAAAAUUGUCCAUAUCAUUUAU